rnacentral:rRNA from 1 species
UACGAAGGGGGCGAGCGUUGUUCGGAUUUACUGGGCGUAAGGGGCUCGUAGGCGGCCAACUAAGUCAGACGUGAAAUCCCCAGGCUCAACCUGGGAACUGCGUCUGAUACUGGAUGGCUUGAAUUCGGGAGAGGGAUGCAGAAUUCCAGGUGUAGCGGUGAAAUGCGUAGAUAUCUGGAGGAAUACCGGUGGCGAAGGCGGCAUCCUGGACCGACAUUGACGCUGAUGAGCGAAAGCUAGGGGAGCAAACGGG